GACGAACCGUGCGAACGUUGUUCGGAAUCACUGGGCAUAAAGGGCGCGUAGGCGGCUUAUCAAGUCAGGGGUGAAAUCCGGCAGCUUAACUGUCGAAGUGCCCUUGAUACUGACGAGCUCGAGGGAGAUAGGGGUGUGUAGAACUUCCGGUGGAGCGGUGAAAUGCGUUGAUAUCGGAAGGAACGCCGGUGGCGAAAGCGACACACUGGAUCUCUUCUGACGCUGAGGCGCGAAAGCCAGGGGAGCAAACGGG
rnacentral:rRNA from 1 species